UCAAGAUUCAAUAUAGGCGUGCAGCGA
rnacentral:sRNA from 1 species